rnacentral:rRNA from 1 species
UACGAAGGGGGCUAGCGUUGAUCGGAAUUACUGGGCGUAAAGCGCACGUAGGCGGACUCUUAAGUCAGGGGUGAAAUCCCGGGGCUCAACCUCGGAACUGCCUUUGAUACUGUGAGUCUCGAGACCGGAAGAGGUGAGUGGAAUUCCUAGUGUAGAGGUGAAAUUCGUCGAUAUUAGGAAGAACUCCAGUGGCGAAGGCGGCUCACUGGUCCGGUUCUGACGCUGAUGUGCGAAAGCGUGGGGAGCAAACAGG